GGUAUAAAUAAUAAAUGAUUAUUAUUAUUAUUAUUAGGCUUCAUUUCCCAUCCAUUCACCCAUCGGAGGAUAUGGUAUGUAAUAUCAUGGUUCUGUUGCCGCAAAAACCAUAGCUUUUUCUUCAGAGGUGGGGUCCAAUUCCAAAUCCAUUCACUCUCACUUAAUGUAUUAUAAAUUCAUCUGCAACAAGGCCCAGACCCAAUAAUGAGAGAAGCAAGUCUCCUCCAUCCCUUUCAGAGAUUGAAGGCUUGGUACUUCUUCCCAAGCACCCACAAGCAGAGGCUCCCAUUGAUCUUCCCCGUUUUAGGGGUGUUUUUAGAUGAUCUUUUCUUCUCUGUCAAUGAAGUGAGGGAGGUUUUGUGAGGGGAUAUGCAACAGAUAUUAAUAAUAGAUAAAGAUGGCUCUGGAGUUUUUUUAAAAAAACCUUUUAAAAAAGGAAAAGACAAAGGGUGAUAUAUUUAAAGGCUUGUUUAAACUUCUAUUGUUGACGUGAUUUCCCAACGAGCAGCUUUUCUGUUUCAUUUUGCCCGUGGCAAAUACCUAAAGAUCAGUAAUAAAGCCUUAUACAAAUACCUUCAUACUUUGCUAGAACAGCAUUUUGACACUCGCUGAUACAGUACAAGGAAAAGGACAACACUACAUUAAUGUUUGACAACACAGUAAGAGCAUUGUGUAUUCACCUGCAAUGAAUGACGAAAAAAUUGGAUGAAUUAAAACAGAAAGGUUCUCAGGGUUUAUAUUUAAAAGUUUAUCUAGAUCACAGUGAUUCUGUUCCCAAGCACUGUCUUCUGUUGUCCCAUUAUUUCUCCUGAGGUGUUGUAAAACGGUUGGACCAUACAAGUGCAAAAGAAAAAUAGAUAUUAAUUUAUUAUUAUACAUCCCAAGCACCCCAGUAUGCCAAGAGAGACCACCGCUUUUCCUACUAGUGUCUCUGGCUAGUGAAUAAUGAUGUAAUUAGUAUGAACUAAAUAAGUAAUUGCCGUUUGCAAGUGCAAGUAUUGCUACUAUUGUUGCCAUUUGUCCUGAGAAAAUACAGUUGGUGUGUAGAAAGAGGUUUCAUGUUAGCUUCGCAUGGUAAAAUUACGUGUUUUGGGAGGCUUGCCGAAAGAUGAAAAGGUUUUAGCAGGUGCAGAAAACAAUACACUGACAGUACUUGCCUAAUGUUAAUAGUCAGGGAGUUUCAGAGAGACUGUGCUGUUGCAUUGAAGGAUCAGUCUUACCAGAUCUGCAAACAGUCUGGUGUUUGGAACCGAAAGGACACAGCUGCCCAUGGGCUCAGGGCUCCCUGUAGUAGACUGAAACCUCUCACAUUGUCACUGUACUAUUGGAGAAAAAUGAACACCCAACCAGACUCUAUUAGUUCACACUCCUGCCUCUGCCUGCUCCAUCACACAUACCUAAAUAUGAUCAGUGUUGUGAAUGGCUUCUCUCCAGCUGUGAUUGUUGAUGCCACACCAUGGGCUAGUGUCCACAUGUGAGUGUUAUUCUGCUGUUAAUCUGCUUUGCUCUCGAUUCAAAUUACCAUAUUUUUCGCUCUAUAAGACGCACCAGACCACAAGACGCACCUAGUUUUUGG